UCCGCUUGUGGACGUAUGUCACUUUAACCAAAUCACGUUAAAUUGGUGUCUUCUUUAUAUGUUUUAAUUGCCGUUGUUAUCAACUUCCAUUAUUUUUGUUAUUGCCAUUAUAUUGUUGAUUGGCUAUACUCCGCACUACCCGGUUCCCGAUCCUAACACUUAACUAAUUGAGUCAUUUUCCUGUUGGUAAGGAACCUUACCAUUUUCACAAACUUCAGAAUUGAAAUCCUGUUGUGGAAUGCAUAUAGAGGAUUGCUAUUGCCGAAGCAAUCAAUUUCGAAUUCUGAAAACACAGGUUUUAGAGUGUACCAGAAAGAGAAAAAGGACAGACAACAAAGAAGAAUCGAGAAAGGACAAGCAAAAAAGAAUGACGAGAAAAGAAGGCUAAGAUGACUCUUACAGACUUUCAUGGUAGUUCUAUUUAUUCCUGGUCUCCCCUUCCUUCUGCACCCAGCUUGGGAAGACUGAAAGUUGUUUACUUGGAGACAUUUUGGUGACAAUGGGGAUUAUCAAUGCUGAAAUUCCACUUCAAAAGAUCUAACUUUAGCGUCACUAACCACUCUACGAGCGGUCCAUUGUGAUGGGGUCGACCGUUCUUGAGGAAGCCCAAAGGUCAUCUAUAGAAGUACUCUUGAACAUGUAGGAUUCUCACUGACAUCUCAAAAACAUAACAAAGUGAUUGCUCGGCCUUGGGAGAUCAUUAUUGUUUGGGACGAUGUUAUCUGUUAUCAUAUUAACUCUCCAACCAGACACAGUUGCUUUGGAGUAUCAAUAUCUUCUAUAGAAUUUCCUCGCUAAUAUUUGAUUGCUGGAAAUGGAUAACUGUACUUUUGAGUGUGGAAGUGGACCUGUGGUAGUAUUUUCAAAAUAAAUGAGUCAAAGUGUUAUGCCUUAAACAAAGUGUCAAUAUGCAUGUAAAGAGUUUUUACUUAUGGCAAGCCUUCUAGAAGCUAUGGACAAAUGUGUCCUCUUGCAUGAUUGUUCAUAGACAAGUGUUAAACCACUUGUUAAGAUUAUCAUCAUUAUUCUUGGUUAUAUA